GCCGGUGUGGCGGAAUGGCAGACGCUCCUGACUCAAAAUCAGGUUCCCGCAAGGGAGUGGAGGUUCGAGUCCUCUCACCGGUACCA
rnacentral:tRNA from 1 species